UACAGAGGGGGCAAGCGUUGUUCGGAAUUACUGGGCGUAAAGGGCGCGUAGGCGGCCUGUUAAGUCGAACGUGAAAUCCCCGGGCUCAACCCGGGAACUGCGUCCGAUACUGGCAGGCUUGAAUCCGGGAGAGGGAUGCGGAAUUCCAGGUGUAGCGGUGAAAUGCGCAGAUAUCAGGAAGAACACCCGUGGCUAAGGCGGCUCUCUAGUACGGUACUGACGCUGAGACGCGAAAGCGUGGGGAGCGAACAGG
rnacentral:rRNA from 1 species